ACGGUAGGUCAGUAUGCCCCGAAUAUCCCGGGCUACACGCGAGCUACAAUGGUUGGUACAAUGGGUAUCUACCCCGAAAGGGGACGGGAAUCUCCUAAAACCAAUCUUAGUUCGGAUUGAGGGCUGCAACUCGCCCUCAUGAAGCUGGAAUCCGUAGUAAUCGCGUUUCAACAGAACGCGGUGAAUACGUCCCUGCUCCUU
rnacentral:rRNA from 1 species